GCUCCAUCAGUGCAGUUCACUCCACAGACAGACUGUACACAGAUGGGAGGCCCCCUGCUGUGACGUCCUGUGGUCACACACAUGCAAACACAUAUGUGCACGUAGACACAGACGGGAGCACUUCAACCACCUCUGCCCGGACUCAUUAAAUAUUUAGCAGGAUUUGUAAUAAUUUGUCAGCAGAGAGCGAGUCACGGUCAGAUCGGCGGUAACUCUACACCACAGUUCCUGAAGAGCAGAUCUCAGACGAUCGAUGGACGCUCUGUCCGUUAACGUCAGCGUGAAAGCUGCGCUGAUGUCAGAGUAUUUACAGCAGGAGCUGACUCUCCAGAGAGCCUCUCCGCCCACGGUCUGAUAGUGAUGGCGGUGCUUCAGCGGCGAGCUGGAGGACGUUUCCCCAACAUGGAGGAGGGACACGCUGCAGAGGCAGCUGGUUUUCAUUUCCUGUGAAGAGCUUGCGACAUCACCAGGUUUUUGCAUCUCAGACUGAUCCGAGUUAUUCUGUGAUCAGAGCAAAGACCUGAGUCACUGUCGGAUCAGACCUGAGUCACCACCAGCCGCCUGCAGAGGAGCAUCCAAGGACACGACAGAGUCUGCAUGAAGAAACAGGAGCACCUCCAGCCCCGCUGGUAAACAGUCUUUACCGUUAAAUAAUGCCCUGUGUGACACCACAGGUGUGUGUGUGUCUGUGUGUGAUACCGCAGGUGUCACACAAACGCUGUGAUGUAUCCACAGACUGCUCUUCUCUACGAUAUUUAAGUUAUCGAUCGAUUAGUCUGGAAACCUGCUCUUGUUCAGAAAAAAAUAGAUCUGUGUCACUGUAAACUAAUCCUCCUCCUCUCAAUCCAGACUAUUAAAAAAUUAGCUCAUUUGAAAUAAUAAGUGUUUGUGGCCUUAAAUAUAAAACUAGCACAGAUUGACUUUCUGUCCUUGAGUUCAGCUAAUAAACGAUCCACUGUAUUAUUAAACCAUCGUUAUAAUGAAGUUGAAGCCACAGCCUUGAGGAACGCUUAGAGUCAAACUGCAUCAACUGGUUUCAUUAUUAUUUAAGUUGAGGAUGUUUCAUGUGAUCAACACUCGAAGACCCAGUGUUUAGUUUACGAUACUGUGCAAAAGUCUUGAGCCAAAACUCAUUGUAUUUUGCUUUUAAGGAGUCAAGAGUUUCUAUGAAUUUUUAAAGUGCUCUUAAACAGCAGUACAAGUUCCUCUUUGGAGACUGGCUGCUUUUUCCACUUCAUUUCAGUCCAGUCCUCGUACCAGAGCAUUUCCACAGGAUCGUGUUUGUUAAUCCUCUGAACUCUGACGUGUGAAUCAUUCAAACAUAAAAAGGCUCCAAAUUCAAAGAUGAACCAGUGCUGUAUCUGCACAUGACGGCCACCUGAGCAACGAAUCAUCAUGUCUUUUAUUACCAGAU